CCUACGGGAGGCUGCAGUGAGGAAUAUUGGUCAAUGGACGCGAGCCUGAACCAGCCAAGUAGCGUGAAGGAUGACUGCCCUACGGGUUGUAAACUUCUUUUAUAAAGGAAUAAAGUGAGGCACGUGUGCCUUUUUGUAUGUACUAUAUGAAUAAGGAUCGGCUAACUCCGUGCCAGCAGCCGCGGUAAUACGGAGGAUCCGAGCGUUAUCCGGAUUUAUUGGGUUUAAAGGGAGCGUAGAUGGUUUGUUAAGUCAGUUGUGAAAGUUUGCGGCUCAACCGUAAAAUUGCAAUUGAUACUGGCAGCCUUGAGGCCAGUGGGGGUAGGGGGAUUUCGGGGUGUAGCGGGAAA
rnacentral:rRNA from 1 species